rnacentral:lncRNA from 1 species
GCGGUCUUCAUCGGCGAUCACAAACCAGCCUCCACCAAGCCCGGGAACGCCAGCUUUGUCUUGAGUAUCUAUAGACCUGCAAGGGAUGGGGAGAGAGUUGAAGGCAAUAUGGGACACCAGGCCCGUGUCCACCCACGCCUCAGAAAGUAGCGGUCUACACCCACCUCUGCGUCCUUCUCCAGUCGAAUGCUCGGCUUUAAUCUUCCCGUCCUCGUUUUCUGAGGCUUCGAGUUUCUUAGCACUUACGGAUGUCAGUGAAGCAAGAAGAAACGUCAAAAGAGAUUUGAAAAGAAAGAAUAUUGCCGGCAUGGGUAGUGUACAUUUUAGUUCCUCAUUCAGGAGGAUCUCUGUGAGUUUGAGGAUGGCCUGGUUUACAAAGUCACCAUGUACUUGGAGAAACUAAAAAAUCAAACAUUUGAAAAAUUCAGGAGCAACCAAUAGCAUCUCUUCAACAUAUCUAAAACUUAAAUAAAUGUUGAAAAAGUUUUCUAAAAAAAUGCAAGUUUAAAUAUUAUUAUGAAAAUAAUCUUGAUUUUUAUAGACUUCUUGAAAGUACUUUGGAAAGAAAAAGAAAAGAAAGAAAGAAAGAAAGAAAGAAAGAAGAGAAAGAAGAAGAAAGGAAGGAAGAAAGAAAGAAAGAAAGAAAGAAAGAAGAAAGAAAGAAAGA